AUGAGGAUUCUCAGUCACCUCCUGAGUCUCCUUGUUCUCUGCCUCCUAGGUGUUCAAUGUGACAUUCACAUGACCCAAAGUCCAGUUUCUCUGUCUACCUUUAUAGGACACACUGUCAAGUGUCAGGCCAGUCAAGACAUUGGUAGAUAUUUAGGCUGGUACCAGCAGAAACCUGGGGCAAGUCCCAAGUUUCUGAUCUAUUAUGCAUCCAAUUUACUCGCUGAUGUUCCAAAGAGGUUCAGUGGCAGUGGAUCUGGAACAGAUUAUUGGCUCAUUAUCAUUAACCUGGAUCCUGAAGACUCUGGAAUUUACUAUUGUCAACAGUGUUAUACUUACCCUCCACAGUGCUACAAAGCAUAA